rnacentral:ncRNA from 1 species
UUGAGCCCUGUGCGGUGAAAGUCGCACGCAGGGUUCUUAAGGAGGCUUGGGAGUGGUAAGACUCCCCGGCUAUCCGAC